UACGGGAGGCAGCAGUGGGGAAUAUUGCACAAUGGGCGAAAGCCUGAUGCAGCUAUGCCGCGUGUAUGAAGAAGGCCUUAGGGUUGUAAAGUACUUUCAUCGGGGAGGAAAAACAAACUAAUAAUUUUAUUUCUUGACGUUACCCGAAAAAGAAGCACCGGCUAACUCCGUGCCAGCAGCCGCGGUAAUACGGAGGGUGCUAGCGUUAAUCAGAAUUACUGGGCGUAAAGAGCACGUAGGUGGUUUUUUUAAGUCAGAUGUGAAAUCCCUGGGCUUAACCUAGGAACUGCAUUUUGAAACUGAAACACUAGAGUAUCGUAGAGGGAGGUAGAAUUCUAGGUGUAGCGGUGAAAUGCGUAGAUAUCUGGAGGAAUACCUGUGGCGAAAGCGGCCUCCUAAACGAAUACUGACACUGAGGUGCGAAAGCGUGGGGAGCAAACAGGGAUUAGAUACC
rnacentral:rRNA from 1 species